GACGAACGCUGGCGGCGUGCUUAACACAUGCAAGUCGAACGGAAAGGCCCUGCUUUUGUGGGGUGCUCGAGUGGCGAACGGGUGAGUAACACGUGAGUAACCUGCCCUUGACUUUGGGAUAACUUCAGGAAACUGGGGCUAAUACCGGAUAGGAGCUCCUGCUGCAUGGUGGGGGUUGGAAAGUUUCGGCGGUUGGGGAUGGACUCGCGGCUUAUCAGCUUGUUGGUGGGGUAGUGGCUUACCAAGGCUUUGACGGGUAGCCGGCCUGAGCGGGUGACCGGCCACACGGGGACGGAGACAGGGGCAAGACGCGUACGGGAGGCAGCGGGAGGGAAGUGUACGAAAUGGGCGAAAGUCUGACGGAGCAAGGCGGCGGUAGUGAUGAAGGGAUUCGGAGCGUAAAACGCGGUUAGUAGGGAAGAAAAAAGGUGUAAGUAACUAGGCACGGCUUGACGGUACCGAAUCAGAAAGCCACGGCUAACUACGUG
rnacentral:rRNA from 1 species